AAUGAACGUUGGCGGCGUGGAUUAGGCAUGCAAGUCGUGCGGAAAGGCCCCGCAAGGGGUACUCGAGCGGCGAAAGGGAUAGUAAUACGUAGGUACCCACCUCCGGGACGGGGAUAGCUGCGGGAAACCGCAAUUAAUACCCGAUAACGUCUCCGGACCAAAGGUGUGAUUCCGCCUGGAGACGGGCCUGCGUCUUAUCAGCUAGUUGGUGAGGUAACGGCUCACCAAGGCAACGACGAGUAGCGGGUGUGAGAGUACGACCCGCAUCACUGGGACUGAGACACUGCCCAGACACCUACGGGUGGCUGCAGUCGAGAAUCUUCGUCAAUGGGCGAAAGCCUGAACGAGCGACGCCGCGUGCGGGAUGAAGGCCCUCGGGUUGUAAACCGCUGUCAGUGGGGAGGAAAUCUAGGGGGGAUCACCCCUUUAGUUGACCUAUCCGCAGAGGAAGGACGGGCUAAGUUCGUGCCAGCAGCCGCCGUAACAC
rnacentral:rRNA from 1 species